rfam:Frankia sp. CcI3, complete genome.
CCGGCUCCGGUUCACGUCGUCCACGCGAGACGACGACCCGGCGGCC